UCGCCCACCCACUUGCCUCUAUACAUACUAUAAAUAAAAGAGAAAAGGGAAUAAGUUGAGCACCAAUUUUUCCAAAAUGAAGGCUUUUCUCAUUCUCUGCAUUCUCUUAGCUUCCAUUCCUUCUUUUCCUUCCGUUUAUGCUCGACAACUAAUAGCAAAAGGAGCUGUGAAUGGAUCAUUAGCGCCACUAGUAUAUUGUUCGAUAAACAAAACGAGAAGUUGCUACAGCCCACCACCACCAACGACAAUUUGCAGUCCAUACAACCGCAAAUGCCAUAGACCACCAGGAAGUACGUAGAGCCUGACUGACUAUUUUCCAAAAACUUCCCCUGCCUCUUGCUAGCUAGCUACCAUAUAUGUGAUUGUUUCUUUCAGUUAUUUCUUGGUGACUAGUUUCAGCAGCAGGUAUUUGUUUUUUUAAUUAAGAAUAAAGUCAGUAAUAUAUUAUUGGGACAAUAAUUCGAGUUUGAAUUCCCUGUCUCCAAUAUAAAAAAAAAAAAAACGAAAAAAAAAGUCUUUUGGAUUUGUUUCUAUGCAUAAAACUCUGAAAGGUUUAUAUAUGUAUAAUGUGUGUGAGAGACAAAGAGGGGGGUCCUUAUAAGAAUGCUUUAUUUGUGAUUAAUACAUAAGAAUUGUAUUUGCAGUAAUUAACUUGUAUGCAAUAAAGUUCCACAUGCCUCUUUUAUUUUA